AUGCCUCCAUGGUGGUUCCUGGUGCAUUUCAUGGUCGCAGUUCUUGCCGUGGAUGUUCAGGGGCGACAUGAUAUUACUGAUAAUAGCAGGUAUACCUGCUCUCCUUUCUAUUGCGGUCAUCUCCAAGACGUCCAGUACCCUUUCCGCCUGCAAGGCGAUCCAUGGUGGUGUGGUUCUCCGUCAUACGAGCUUACCUGCACCGAUAGCAAUGCUACAAUUCAGAUCAACACAGGGACAUACUUUGUCACUGAGAUUGACUACAAGUAUUCUUCCUUCUGGGUCGUGGACGCCAACUUGGACAUGAGCAGUAGCUGCCCUCUUCCUCGCUGGGAUCAACGCCCUUAUCUACAUGGCCUCCAGCAGUCCGACGGCUCCAUCAUAUUUGACCCUUUUUUCGUUACGUGGCCUAGCUUUGUGAAUUGUUCGCGGGUGGUCACGAACAAUAGUGACUACAUACCGGUCACUUGCCUGAACACGAGGUAUUCUUUUGUCUAUGUGUUGAUUGACUAUAUUUCUGUUGGGGACCUUGAGCCUUCUUGCGGGUACUUGGCCAUGGCUGCUUUGGGUGGUCGGAGCAUGCGAUUAGAUAAUGCAAGUCAUGAAAUUCUGGUAGAAUCCAUGAGGAGAGGAUUUGCCGUUAGGUUUCCUUUCAGAUAUCAAAGGACUUUGGAGGGCUUCAAGGGGUGCAUAAAGGAUCGCUUUGUCCUAGGCCCUGGGUAUUCAGUGGUGUAUCUCGUUGCGCGUUCGGCUGUGAUCAUUUUGGCACUCGAUUUUGAAGUAUUGCAUUGCGCAUUUAGAACAACAGUUUCUUCCAAUGAACAUCUCGGCACACUACAGGUUGCAGUACUAUACUCUACGUCGAUAUUGAAGUUGAUUGCUGUACUAUGCAGGUUCGUGGUUGCUCCCCUGGUGGUAUUGUUCUUCAUAGCUCACAAAUACUGGAAAACGAGGAUCACAAUUGAUGCGGUCGAGAAGUUCCUACGGAUGCAGCAAAUGAUCGGCCCGACAAGGUACGCCUACACAGAUAUUGUCGCAGUAACAAGCCAUUUCAGAGACAAGCUGGGCCAGGGAGGCUAUGGCUCGGUGUACAAGGGCGUUCUGCUCCCAGGCAAUGUCUAUGUGGCCAUCAAGAUGCUAGAUGGUAAAUCCAGCUGCGAUGGAGAAGAUUUCAUCAGUGAGGUCUCCACCAUCGGGAGGAUCCACCACGUCAAUGUGGUGCGUCUAGUCGGGUUCUGCUCGGAGGAAAUGAGGAGGGUGCUAGCCUACGAGUAUAUGCCCCAUGGUUCUCUGGACAAGUACAUCUUCUCGGCUGAGAGGAGUUUCUCCUGGGACAAGCUUAAUGAAAUCGCCUUGGGCAUUGCCAGGGGGAUCAACUACCUGCAUCAAGGAUGCGACAUGCAGAUUCUGCACUUUGACAUCAAGCCGCACAACAUCCUUCUUGACAGCAAUUUCGUCCCAAAGGUUGCCGAUUUCGGCCUUGCCAAGCUGUACCCAAGGGACAACAGUUUUGUGCCGUUGAGCGCCCUACGGGGAACCAUUGGGUACAUAGCUCCUGAAAUGAUAUCCCGGAGCUUCGGCGUCAUAUCGACCAAAUCUGACGUUUACAGCUUCGGGAUGCUGCUGCUGGAGAUGGCCGGAGGGGGAGGAAUGCUGACCCGGGCACGGCGAACUCAAGCCAGACAUUCUACCCGUCGUGGGUGUAUGACCGGCUAAGCAAACAGGAACUGGGUGAGAUGCGUGCUGAGAUGCAUGAGUUGGAGAGGAAACUUUGUGUUGUUGGGCUUUGCUGCAUCCAGAUUCAGUCUCACGAUCGGCCGCCGAUGAGCGAAGUCAUAGAGAUGCUUGAAGGAGGUGUGGAUGGCCUGCAGUUGCCUUCGAGGCCAUUCUUCUGUGACGAUGGGCAGACCCCUGUAGCGGAGUCUUAAGAUUUCUGCUCUGGGCUGACUGCCAUUUCAGAGGAGGAUGACUGA
rnacentral:rRNA from 1 species